rnacentral:rRNA from 1 species
UACGUAGGGUGCGAGCGUUGUCCGGAAUUAUUGGGCGUAAAGAGCUCGUAGGCGGUCUGUCGCGUCGAUCGUGAAAACUUGGGGCUUAACCCUGAGCUUGCGGUCGAUACGGGCAUGACUGGAGUUCGGCAGGGGAGACUGGAAUUCCUGGUGUAGCGGUGAAAUGCGCAGAUAUCAGGAGGAACACCGGUGGCGAAGGCGGGUCUCUGGGCCGAUACUGACGCUGAGGCACGAAAGCGUGGGGAUCAAACAGG